AAGAUCAUACUUUAUGGGAUCAAUUCUAUAGUGAGAUUGCCGGGUUUCUCGCCAAGAUUCUCGGAAUAUAUUCAACCACGAUGAGGUUUUUUCAGUGUGAUCCUCUGAGCGGGAAGCGGCCCUUUAAACGUUUUUCGUAAGAGCUUUGAUGACCGUUCUGCCGGUAUACCGUGUCUAGAGGAGGUUCACGCAGACUGAGUGGU